ensembl:lncRNA
GGCUGUCUGUAUGUUUGGGAGAUGCCUUGGCUGAAGAAUAGGGCUGGGAAGAGUCAGAACCCAGUAGUAUCUGGACUAUGGGUAUCCCUAAACUGUGUGCAAAUGCCACUCUAUGCAAGGUAUAGACCAGUAGGGGAUGGGGGUGGGAGAGUCUAGAGGUGUAGAAGUGGUGGCCCUGCCCUGAGUAGCUUAACUUGGUUGGAGAGAUAAAAGCUGUCCCAUUAGUUGAUGCCAACUGGGUAGGGUGUGGUUGGGCCCAUGCAAUGGUCGAUAUAAGCUGCAGAGAAAGGAGCAAUGUGCAAAGACAGAGAGGACCUCACUCAUCCUAAAGGGCUUUAGGGAAGGCUUCAUGUUGAUGGUAGAGCUUUGGUUGGCUUGGAAGGAAGGCUUUCCUGACCGGGGCUGAGGUGGAGGUGAUAGUGAUGGAGAAACUGUGCAAAGGUAAGGAGUCUGGAAAGUUCUACAUAUUUUCAGGGAUAGUUAGUUCAGGAUCCACUGAAGGCUUCUGUGGAUCCUUCUAGAAGGAGGCAUGCACAGCCCACUGUGUCUGAGUGUAUGUGAUGUGGUAGAGGUGAUGAGACCAUCCUUGAGAGCCUUUAAUGGGGGAUGGGGCAGAAGUGCAAACAAAGGAGGGGUGGCCUUAUUCAGCUGUGUGCUGUGGACACCACUGAACCAAACUACUGAGUAUGCCUGACUGGGACCAAUUUUCAUAACUAGGAAAUUCAGAAACCACUGGGCCCCCUGAGUGUCAGGUUGGAUGUGAAGGAAGAUUUGCUCUUUUAAGAGUAGAAUAUGGCCUCUAGGAGGCUGUUUAUUAGGAACAGAAGAUUCUGGUUCAGGCCCCAUGCUAGAUCACACUCCCCAUUCUUGGGUCCUGUUUCUUCUGCUUCCUCAGUGAUGUGGGCCAGGGGGGUGCCCAGGGGGCCCAUGGGGGUGCCCAGGGCCAGGGGGGUGCCCAUGGCCAUGGCAGUGCCCAGGGCCAGGGGAGUGCCCAUGGCCAUGGCAGUGCCCAGGGCCAGGGGGGUGCCCGCCUCCAUGGCUGUGCCCAGGGCCAGGGGGGUGCCCAUGGCCAUGGCAGUGCCCCUGUGGAAAAUCAGAUGAACAAUAUUAGAGUCAGAGGUCAGUGCCAGUCUUACCUGAGAUCAACUCCUCUUCUCCCUUCCCCUUGUCUCUCUGCUGCUCCUCCUCUACAGGACACAGGAUUCCUGGGUACUAGUAGGGGCUCAUGGUAGAGGUCUGGGAGACAGAGAUAGCAAGUGACUGCUCCUAGUUUUAGGCCUUUUGCCUUGAUGAAACUAGAGCACAGAGCAGACACAAUGGGAGGAAACUAGAUUAAUUGAGUUCUAUUCCUUGAGCUGAGAUAUGGCUCCCACCCUCUGGACCUUGGUUUAUUUUAUCUGUGACUAAGAAGCUGAAGUAUCUCAUCUUCUCCCUUCCUUCACCCAAGAACCCAUGAAGAGUGAUUAGAGGUUUUGCCAUGUUGACUACUUAGAAAUGAAGGUAGGGCUGGGGGAGGCUACAGAAGAACUCAGUGAGGACCAGGGGCACGGAAGAGAUAGGAGGCACAGAGAGGAGAGAUGCAGGAGCCAAGGGGAAGGAGGAGUCAGCUGAAGGGUGGGAGGAGACAAAGGUAAGGAUGUGCUUGUUCUCUAUGUAGGUAGUACACGUGUGCAGGUAAAGAUCUGUACUACCUCUACAUAAAAAUAGUUAUGUCUAUAUACAUGAACCUAUAAAGACCUUCUGUGUACACAGGUACAUGCCUAUGGGUGCAUGUGCCUGGUUAUGUGCAUACAUGUCAACAGAAGUACAUGUGAGCCCAUGCCUGUCCCUGAGCAGGUGCCAGACUCAUGAAAUCAGGAAGAACAGAGAGUAAAAUCAAGGUUUUAUUGCUUGAGGCAGA